ACUCAAAUGAAUUGACGGGGGCCCGCACAAGCGGCGGAGCAUGUGGCUUAAUUCGAUGCGACGCGAAGAACCUUACCUGGGCUGAACUACGCGGGAAAAGCCGUAGAGAUACGGUGUCCGUAAGGGUCCGCGAUAGGUGGUGCAUGGCUGUCGUCAGCUCGUGUCGUGAGAUGUUGGGUUAAGUCCCGCAACGAGCGCAACCCUUGUCCUAUGUUGCCAGCGGGUAAUGCCGGGGACUCGUAGGAGACUGCCGGGGUCAACUCGGAGGAAGGUGGGGAUGACGUCAAGUCAUCAUGCCCCUUAUGUCCAGGGCUGCACACAUGCUACAAUGGCCGGUACAAAGGGCUGCUAUUCCGCGAGGAUGAGCGAAUCCCAGAAAGCCGGUCUCAGUUCGGAUUGGAGUCUGCAACUCGACUCCAUGAAGUCGGAGUCGCUAGUAAUCCCGAAUCAGCAACGUCGGGGUGAAUACGUUCCCGGGCCUUGUACACACCGCCCGU
rnacentral:rRNA from 1 species